UAAAGUUGAUUCUGAUCUUUCCCCAUCUGGAAGCAGUAGGACGUGUUAUGACGCGCACAGCAGCCAAUCAUGGAGAAACCAGGAAGAACACCGUGGGAUUGCUUAUAAAAUGGAGCUUUUUUAUUUUACAAAUAGAAGGCAAAUCCACACUUGGAUGCACGUUAAAUAUUACUGCGCUGACCUCCCUGCCCCCGUGGUGACAGUCUUCCCACCAGCAAGUGCCCAGCUCCAGUCCAAAGAGGCCACCCUGGUCUGCGUGGCCACUCAGUCGCUCCCGAUCGCAGACGUCACGUGGCUGGCUCGCGGCCUUCCGGCGAGAGGCGCCGUCGUGACCGGUCCCGCCGUGCGACAGGCGGACCGUACUUACAAGAUCAGCAGCUAUUUGACCGUGGAGACGUCCGACUGGGACGCGGACGCCGCUUACACCUGUAAAGUGUCUUUGGGCUCCAAGUCUGCCGAAAGCACCAUCAACAAAUCCAAGUGUGAGAUUUAGAUGGUCAGUAUUUAGUUUGCGGGCCGACCAGGCCAUACCAAUGAUGUGUUUGCGUGCUUAUAGGAAGUGUUUGCUUUCUGUCUCCUUGCUAGAAUGCUUCAGAAUUCUUCAAUAAAAACAUGUCAUGAAUGUUUUAUGGGUUGAUAAUUCCAUUUAGAUUCAACCACUUAUUCGUUUUGACCCGUCUAAUGCAUGUCCGAGCUGUCCUCUUCAAUGACGAGCCACUCUCAAGUAAACAUGAUGGACAGACUCCACCAACAAUAAUGUAUUAAUUUCUACCUUGGCUGGAAAUGAUUACUUAUUAAUAUAAACAAAGCCUCUCAAG